rnacentral:misc_RNA from 1 species
UACAGAGGGUGCGAGCGUUAAUCGGAUUUACUGGGCGUAAAGCGUGCGUAGGCGGCUUUUUAAGUCGGAUGUGAAAUCCCCGAGCUUAACUUGGGAAUCGCAUUCGAUACUGGGAAGCUGGAGUAUGGGAGAGGAUGGGAGAAUUCCAGGUGUAGCGGUGAAAUGCGUAGAGAUCUGGAAGAAUACCGAUGGCGAAGGCAGCUAUCUGGCCUAAUACUGACGCUGAGGGACGAAAGCAUGGGUAGCAAACGGG